rnacentral:RNase_P_RNA from 2 species
UGGGACGGCCGGGCGGCCGCGUCCGGCGCGUGCGCGUCGGCCGAGGAACGUCCGGGCUCCGCAGGGCACGGUGGUGGGUAACGCCCACUCGGGGAGACCCGCAGGACAGUGCCACAGAGAACAGACCGCCCGCCGUCGUUCGUCGGCGCGCGGGUAAGGGUGAAACGGCGGUGUAAGAGACCACCGCACCCCGGGUGACCGGGGUGGCAAGGUAAACCCCACCGGGAGCAAGGCCAGACAGGACGCGAUCGAGGGCUGCCCGCCCGAGCGUCCGGGUAGGCCGCUCGAGGGUGCCGGCAACGGUACUCCUAGAUGGAUGGUCGCCACCUGCAGUCCGGGUAACCGGCGCAGGCACAGAACCCGGCGUACAGGCCGUCCCGUCCA